UAUUUAUACCCUGCUCAAAGAGCUACAGCCAGACACGAUUAGAAUUCGAAUUCCAAAUUACACGGAACCCAUUUACAAAACGAUUUAAAUAAUUAAGAAAAUAACAAAACUAUCCCCCGUGACAAACUGAAACUCUUCCACAAACCAUCGGCGACUUCUGAACUCUCCCUUCGUAUCAUCGGCAGACUCCCUUGCCAUAGUCAUCGGCAGACUUCCUCAUCAUAGCCAUCGGCACAGACACAUCACCGCCUGUAGACUUAAUCACGUUCAACCUCUCCUUCAUCGGCA
rnacentral:lncRNA from 1 species